GGUCCUUAGCGUAGGGUCUCUUAACUUUUAACUAAAAAAGCUAAGGAACGGCCCUUAAAUAAGGGAUUUGAGAAAAGUCCCUUAGCGUUUUUAGUUAAAAGUUAAAGGACUCUACGCUAAGAGCC
rnacentral:pre_miRNA from 1 species